CAGCAGCCGCGGUAAUACGGAGGGAGCUAGCGUUGUUCGGAAUUACUGGGCGUAAAGCGCGCGUAGGCGGUUACUCAAGUCAGAGGUGAAAGCCCGGGGCUCAACCCCGGAACUGCCUUUGAAACUAGGUGACUAGAAUCUUGGAGAGGUCAGUGGAAUUCCGAGUGUAGAGGUGAAAUUCGUAGAUAUUCGGAAGAACACCAGUGGCGAAGGCGGCUCACUGGACCGGCAUUGACGCUGAGGUGCGAAAGCGUGGGGAGCAAACAGGAUUAGAUACCCGGGUAGUCCCUGUCUCUUAUAC
rnacentral:rRNA from 1 species